rnacentral:rRNA from 1 species
GAUGAACGCUAGCUACAGGCUUAACACAUGCAAGUCGAGGGACCGGCGCACGGGUGAGUCACACGUAUCCAACCUGCCCUUUACUCGGGGAUAGCCUUACGAAAGUAAGAUUAAUACUCGUUAUAAAGGUUGGGGAUGCGUUCCAUUAGGUUGUUGGUGAGGUAACGGCCCACCAAGCAUUCGAUGGAUAGGGGUUCUGAGAGGAAGGUCCCCCACAUUUGAACUGAGACACGGUCCAAACUCCUACGGUAGGCAGCAGUGAGGAAUAUUGGUCGAUGGUCGCUAGCCUGAACCAGUCAAGUAGCGUGAAGGAUGAAGGCUUAUGGGUCGUAAACUUCUUUUAUAUAAGAAUAUGUAUUAUAUGAAUAAGGAUCGGCUAACUCCGUGCCAGCAGCCGCGGUAAUUC